CACAGUACACACUUAUAUAUUAUGUAAAGAAAAACGUUUAUUUCGGAUGCGAUUAAUCGCGAUUAAUCAUUUUACAGCACCAAUUUUGACACAUUAUGGAAUAAGUGUUUGUGUUUACAUACUUGGAGUAAGUUUUGGGCCUAAUGUGAGCAGAUAAAAAAUAGUCUGUGUAUACAACGCAAUGAAUGUUUGUCCUUUUUUGUUUUUUAUAACUUUAGUGACUGUUUCUCAGGGGUGGGUUUAUUUUUAAAGUCAGUUUCUAUAUAGACAUAAACCUUAUAGUCUUAAGAAAGCUAUUGAGACAUUUUCACUAGUACUGUUCUGAAAAAAAAAAACUGUUCAUUCAGUACAGAGGCAUGAUGUCACACUGUAUGGAGUAAUAUGUCUGGCUGUUUAAAUUCUUUUUCAUCAGAAUUUAAAUCUUAAAGCAUUUUGACACAUACACAUGCACAAAAAUCAUAGAAAACGACGAAUGUCAUAAUAUUUUGAAGUCACUUGUUCAACCUGUAUUACAAAAUGACAGUAUUCUCUGUGACAGCUAGCCCCAGUCUCCUGAAUUUGCUACGUAAA